UACGAAGGGUGCAAACGUUGCUCGGAAUUAUUGGGCGUAAAGCGCACGUAGGCGGCUUAGCAAGUCGGAAGUGAAAUCCCUCGGCUCAACCAAGGAAGUGCUUUCGAAACUGCUGAGCUUGAGUACUUAAGAGGAUCGCGGAAUUCCCGGUGUAGAGGUGAAAUUCGUAGAUAUCGGGAGGAACACCGGUGGCGAAGGCGGCGACCUGGGUAGAUACUGACGCUGAGGUGCGAAAGCGUGGGGAGCGAACAGG
rnacentral:rRNA from 1 species